CUCCACCCCCCACCCCUUCUCCCUAAGCCUUGGCCAAAGCUUGCAGAAAACCCCGUGGUCUGGACGGAGGUGGUGACUGCGCCUCUGGCUCCCAGCCAGGGCACUUUCAGCAAUAACAACAUUAGUCAUGCCUCUUACCAGAAACGGCAUCGACAAGCAGCCAGGAUCCAUGUGGCCCUGGGCGGUUUGCUUCAUUUCCUUUACAUGUUGUUUUCAGCUGCAACCUGCGUUUUCAUGCCAAGCAGGGACUUUGCCUAGAAGCCUCAGUUCGCCUCCAAAUGGGGCUGGUGGCUUUCAGGGGGAUUGGGUCGCACGCGCUCGUUGGGGAGGGGACUAAAAGAAGUUAUGCCUUAAAGAGAGUCCAUUCCCCUUACACUGGAGAAGUCUCACGUGAAGCCAAAUGUGCACGAAUUAGCUCGGAUGCCCUGUGCAGAAAUUACUGAGAGUGAUCAGAAUUAGAGACAGUUGGGGCAGCUGGAGUGUGAGUUGCCACUGGAUUGUGGCUGCUAUAUGUCCUUAGCCUACCAUGGUUGAGAGAGCAUACCAAGACGAAGACUAGAAUUUUCUCAGGGCAAGCCAAUUGUUGAAGAUUUUUCCUGUCCCUUCCCCCUCCCCACUUUCUACUUGGAAGAGCACACACUAAAUUCAAAACUUACUUGUUCUUUGAAGUUUGUUUACAUUUCUGUUCAAACUAGCAUUAAAUAAAAAUAUAUUUGAUUGUGGCAA